GACGUAGGGGGCGAGCGUUGUCCGGAUUCAUUGGGCGUAAAGAGCACGCAGGCGGUUUGGCAAGUCGGAUGUGAAAACCCGGAGCUCAACUCCGGACCUGCAUCCGAAACUGCCCGACUAGAGGUAGGUAGGGGAGAGCGGAAUUCCUGGUGUAGCGGUGAAAUGCGCAGAUAUCAGGAGGAACACCGGUGGCGAAGGCGGAUCGCUGGGCCGAUACUGACGCUGAGGAGCGAAAGCAUGGGGAGCGAACAGG
rnacentral:rRNA from 1 species